UACGAAGGGGGCUAGCGUUGUUCGGAAUCACUGGGCGUAAAGCGCACGUAGGCGGAUGUGCCAGUCAGGGGUGAAAUCCCGGAGCUCAACUUCGGAACUGCCUCUGAUACAGCACGUCUUGAGUCCGGAAGAGGUGGGUGGAAUUCCUAGUGUAGAGGUGAAAUUCGUAGAUAUUAGGAAGAACACCGGUGGCGAAGGCGGCCCACUGGUCCGGUACUGACGCUGAGGUGCGAAAGCUAGGGGAGCAAACAGG
rnacentral:rRNA from 1 species